rnacentral:rRNA from 1 species
AAAUUGAAGAGUUUGAUCAUGGCUCAGAUUGAACGCUGGCGGCAGGCCUAACACAUGCAAGUCGAACGGUAACAGGAAGCAGCUUGCUGUUUUGCUGACGAGUGGCGGACGGGUGAGUAAUGUCUGGGAAACUGCCUGAUGGAGGGGGAUAACUACUGGAAACGGUAGCUAAUACCGCAUAACGUCGCAAGACCAAAGAGGGGGACCUUCGGGCCUCUUGCCAUCGGAUGUGCCCAGAUGGGAUUAGCUAGUAGGUGGGGUAAC